CCUACGGGAGGCAGCAGUAAGGAAUAUUGGUCAAUGGACGCAAGUCUGAACCAGCCAUGCCGCGUGCAGGAUGAAGGCCCUCUGGGUUGUAAACUGCUUUUAUAGGGGACGAAAAAGGGACUUUCUAGUUCAACUGACGGUACCCUAGGAAUAAGCACCGGCUAACUCCGUGCCAGCAGCCGCGGUAAUACGGAGGGUGCAAGCGUUAUCCGGAUUUACUGGGUUUAAAGGGUGCGUAGGUGGGUCGGUAAGUCAGCGGUGAAAUCUUCAAGCUUAACUUGGAAACUGCCAUUGAUACUAUCGAUCUUGAAUCAUCUGGAGGUAAGCGGAAUAUGUCAUGUAGCGGUGAAAUGCUUAGAUAUGACAUAGAACACCAAUUGCGAAGGCAGCUUACUACGGAUGUAUUGACACUGAGGCACGAAAGCGUGGGGAUCAAACAGGAUUAGAUACCCUGGUAGUCCACGCCCUAAACGAUGGAUACUCGACAUACGUGAUAUACUAUGUGUGUCUGAGCGAAAGCAUUAAGUAUCCCACCUGGAAGUACGAUCGCAAGAUUGAAACUCAAAUGAAUUGACGG
rnacentral:rRNA from 1 species